rnacentral:tRNA from 1 species
GGAGAGAUGGCCGAGUGGUUUAAGGCACACGCUUGGAAAGCGUGCGUAUGUUAAACGCAUACCGUGGGUUCGAAUCCCACUCUCUCCGCCA